rnacentral:tRNA from 1 species
ACCGCCGUAGCUCAGUGGACGAGAGCACCUGGCUACGAACCAGGGGGCCGCGUGUUCGAAUCACGCCGGCGGUA